UACAGAGGGUGCAAGCGUUAAUCGGAAUUACUGGGCGUAAAGCGUGCGUAGUCGGUUAUUUAAGUCGGGUGUGAAAGCCCCGGGCUCAACCUGGGAAUUGCAUUCGAUACUGGAUAGCUAGAGUUCGGCAGAGGGAAGCGGAAUUUCCGGUGUAGCGGUGAAAUGCGUAGAUAUCGGAGGAACACCGGUGGCGAAGGCGGCUUCCUGGACCGACACUGACGCUGAGGCGCGAAAGCUAGGGGAGCAAACGGG
rnacentral:rRNA from 1 species